AGACUCUCUCUCCUCUGUCAUGCUGUCACGCAUUUCCUGCACUCACAUACAGUGGUUAAGUGUCAGUGGAGAGAAAGGACUGGUCUUACCUUCAGAAAAAACACGUGGAAAUCAAGGGAAAAGGAAAAAAGUGGAAGGAAAAUGGAAAACUAUGUCACUGCACUCACUUUUGGGAUUUUCAUGCUCAGUGGAUGCUCGGCCCGUGUGGUGACGGUGCCUUCUGGUCCAUUAAUCCGGGUGGAGGGCCAGCCAGUCUCCAUCAGAUGUGAUGUCAAAGAAUACACAGGACCUAGUGAGCAGGAUUUUGAAUGGAAUAUGUUAAAGGAUGCUAAAGGGCGGAAGACACAGAUAAUCUCCUCUUUCGACUCUCGGUACUCCGACCAGUCUUACAGCACGCGCGUGGCAUCUGGCGACAUUUCAAUGGUGCGUCUCCAAGACAAUGAGGUGGAGCUGAAGAUUGCUGAGGUGAAGUUGACGGAUGCUGGCUUCUACGAGUGUCAAACACCGAGCACCGACUACGUCAUCAGUGGAAAUUAUAUGGCUCAGGUCCAGCUCACUGUCAUUCCUAACACGCUCAAGGUGUCCCCUAAGACCCCGCCCCCUGUCAUCACUGAGGGAAGUGACCUAACUCUCUCCUGCAACGUCACCCGGGAGCUCAUCCACCCCAGAAAUUGGACCAAAAUCGUGGAGAGUACCAAAGAGAUGGGAACCGUUGCAGUUACUCCUACAAAGCCUGUAAUCCUGUACGACUCCACGCGGUGUUACAUCGUGAGCACCUUCCUCAGCCUUUAUGGGCUCAUCAUCACCAGUAUGUUCAUCAGAGAGGAGUUCUUCAGAACCAAAGUAAAGACAAACCAGGACGUCAACAGUGAACUGGAAGGUCUGGUAAUUUCUCCCUGCAGACAAGACCAUGAGACAAAAGAAGAAGAGUAGGUUUGCUGUUCUUGUACAACCUAAUGUGAUUGAAGUAUUGAAGUAACAGGAUGAAAUAUCACAACAAAAUUCUUAAUUAUGUGUCUUUGUUGCUCUGUUUUUUGAUUCCAAAGAAGUGAGCCUUAUGUUUCAGUACUGCCUUUAUUGUGCAUUACCAUCCUGCAGCAGUAUAUUAUUAAGAGGACUUUUACCAGUUUUCAGGUUCUCUUAAGGUUUUUUGGUUCGUUGAGUCUUGGUGUCAAAGACUUUAACUCUGUAGAUUAGUUAAGAUUGAUAAACUGACAGCAACUUAAAUUCUUCAUAACAAAGGUUGAAAGAAACACAAAAAACACAGAACUGAAUUUUUUAAGCACCUCAAAUGAUUACACAAUAAGAAACGAUAUUAACAGAGCUACCGUGAAGGAUCCCUAUAAUGCAACAUCUGUUUUUAGGGCGGAAGACACAGGUUAGUAUUGGAGUAACUGUAACCCUAAUUCAGAUAGAUUCAUAGUUAAAUUCUUUAUUGAUCCUACAAAGGACAUACUAUACCAUAUUAAUUUAUCCUCUCCCAAUCACAGCUGUCAUUUUAUACUUUAUAAUUGAAUGUAUCUGUAAGUAGAUUUAGGGCUUUAAAUAUGAAUGAUAACAUGAGUAAGAUUUCUGUAUUUCAUGUCAAAUAUAACAUUUACGAGAAGCUGAAACUAUUCCAGAAUAUUAACAACAAUAAUUAUACAUAAAUAUUACAUGUUAAAAAUAUAUUUUAUUUCUAAUCAAUAGUUUGUGUACCCAUCAAAGCUGCAGUCAGUAAUCAAUGAAUUGAUUAGUUGACUGAGAGAAGGUUAAUUGGCCACUUUUUAAUAAACUGCAAAUCAUUUGUGUUCAAUUUUAAAAAUUGCAAUGAGAUUUUUCUGAUUCUCAUAUAUGUUUUUUUGUUAAAUUUAAAUUGUCUGAAAUGUUUAAUUUUUAAGAUGUCAUCAUUAGUGCUGGACACAGUAGCAGUCAUUAAAUGCUUUGUAUACCAGGAGAUGAACUGUUUCGUUUUCACGUUUCAUAUAAAGUGUUUCUAAUUAUACCUGAACACACUUCUAAUCACUUGUGAGCUCACACAUCAAUAAUUUAUCAGCGACAUGGGUGUUUAGUUUUUCAUUACCAAAUUGUAGGAAUGAAUUUGACUUGUAGUAUUCAGCUGAGAGGGGCUGACUUUGACUUUAUUGGGGGGGCCUAAGGCUCAUCUGCAAUGCAGACACGCAGCCCCAACACAGAGUCUGCAAUUUUAUCUGUGAUUUUAAUAUUUAAUAUCCAAAGCUUGUCCAAUUUGAGAAACAUCUUUCGAAUCUGUGUGAAAUCUCUUAAAGCUGCAGAGGAGCAAGAUUUAGUAAAUGAACAUUAAACACACGGCAAGCCAUGUGAAUAAAUUUGACGACUAUAUGGAACUUUUGGAGGCAAAAUAAACAUAAAAAAUUUUGAAACGCUAUACGCAUUUUAUAAAUAUAAGUAAAAAUAAGGAUAUUAGCGAUGAUUAAAAACUAAAAAGUUUAAAAGUUGGUUCUUUUACUAUUUUUUCUUACAUUUUAUUUAAUUGUUAAUUUUUUAAUGAUUAAUUUAUUUCAUAUUCAACAUUUUGUGCAUGAAUUCUUUGCAGCUUUUAAAAUUUUGAAAACGAAUGCUGCAGCUUUAAGUUUUUAUAUCGUCUGCCUUGUUUUUCAUAAUUUGUUUGUUUGUUUACACUUCUCCAAGUUCUUUGACCUGUCAUGUUAGAUGGUGCUUUAAUCCAAGUUAAUUUGUUCCUGUACGAAUGUUUUGCUUCAUUAUUAUUAUCUGUAAAACUGAGUCUUUGUUGUUGUUUUUGUUUUGUUUUGUUUCCAGAUAUGAAACGUAUCAUUAAAAAACUCAGUAAAACUCAGUUUGAAGGUUUGCAGAUCAGCAAACAGAAGCAGAUUUUGGACAAAUCUGCUACCUAAUGAAUUUAAGGUGAAAUACAUCAGGGGGGAAAAAAGCUUCUAAAUGUUAUCUUGAUAUAAGGAAUUAUAUGAAGGAUAGAUAUGAAUAUGGGAAUCGUAAUUGCUUGUAAUUAAAUGAUUUAAAAGAAUAUCUGCAUCUACCUUUGAAAGAAUUUCUUUAGUGGUCUUUAAAUAAAAGAAAUAUAAGGUUAUUUUUAGAAUGAAAUAAAGAUUAUUUUUUAAGGUGUGAAAUUAUUUAAAAACUGUUUAGGAAAAUAAAAUCCACAGUUAAAGUAAUUAAAGAUUAAAGGAUGAAAUAUAUCACAAUUAUUAUAUUCUAUCUGUGAGAUGAAAUACAACACAUGUUAAUGAAUGUUUUUUGUUUGUUUCUCAAUUUGGGGGGUUGGAUAUUCAGUAUUUGUAAAAAUGUGUCUGUAACGAGUGCUGAUGUUAAACAAAUAAAUACACAGAACAGAAAGCUUCAAAAACAAAGU